GGGAAUCUACCCUUGGGUUCGGAAUAACAGCGGGAAACUGCUGCUAAUACCGGAUGAUGACGAAAGUCCAAAGAUUUAUCGCCCAGGGAUGAGCCCGCGUAGGAUUAGCUAGUUGGUGAGGUAAAGGCUCACCAAGGCUACGAUCCUUAGCUGGUCUGAGAGGAUGAUCAGCCACACUGGGACUGAGACACGGCCCAGACUCCUACGGGAGGCAGCAGUAGGGAAUAUUGGACAAUGGGGGCAACCCUGAUCCAGCAAUGCCGCGUGAGUGAUGAAGGCCUUAGGGUUGUAAAGCUCUUUUACCCGAGAUGAUAAUGACAGUAUCGGGAGAAUAAGCUCCGGCUAACUCCGUGCCAGCAGCCGCGGUAAUACGGAGGGAGCUAGCGUUGUUCGGAAUUACUGGGCGUAGAGCGCACGUAGGCGGCGAUUUAAGUCAGAGGUGAAAGCCCGGGGCUCAACCCCGGAACUGCCUUUGAGACUGGAUUGCUUGAAUCCUGGAGAGGUGAGUGGAAUUCCGAGU
rnacentral:rRNA from 1 species